rnacentral:rRNA from 1 species
AGCUGAGUUUGAUCCUGGCUCAGAACGAACGCUGGCGGCAGGCUUAACACAUGCAAGUCGAACGCCCCGCAAGGGGAGUGGCAGACGGGUGAGUAACGCGUGGGAAUCUACCCAGUUCUACGGAACAACUGAGGGAAACUUCAGCUAAUACCGUAUACGCCUACGGGGAAAGAUUAUCGGAAUUGGAUGAGCCCGCGUAAGAUUAGCUAGUUGGUGGGGUAACGGCCUACCAAGGCGACGAUCUUUAGCUGGUCUGAGAGGAUGAUCAGCCACACUGGGACUGAGACACGGCCCAGACUCCUACGGGAGCAGCAGUGGGGAAUAUGGACAAUGGGCGCAAGCCUGAUCCAGCCAUGCCGCGUGAGUGAUGAAGGCCCUU